GUCUGUAUUCCCGGGUGGAUUCGGCUGAGGACAUGGGGCGGCUGCAGAGAGGGAGGAACCAGGCCGCAGGGCUUACCUGGGAGUCUGAGGAGGUGGGCUCAGGGCUAGGCCUGGUGCUGUGGGCUUCCAAACAUGUUUGAGCUUUCAGCGUUUCGGGCAAGGACCCCGACAACUGUAUCAGACCCUGAGGAUGCUUCUUGCUGCCUUCUGUCCCCCACCUGGGGACAAGCCUGCCCGGAAGUUUGCAGCUGGCCAGGACACAGGAGUCAGGCGCUGUCGUCAGACGGGAGGUCUGAAGGUCUUCCUGCUGUGCUGGACACUGCAGAGCGGAGACAGCUCGGCUCGAGCUUUCCCUUAGCAUCCCUUCCCCGGAGCUUCUUGCCUCCCCUGUGUUCUCCUCGGCCUCUGUUACUCAGAAGAGAAUUUUGGAAUUCCCGACUUUACGUAGGGCUCGCAAAGUUGGCUUCUCCUUCUGGUUUCUAAAUUACAUGCAGUCAGGACAUGCGCUGUCCCUGGCACUGACUGGAGAUUUCCUGAGGCGGCUUUGUCUCAUCCGCCUCUCCUUCCUGACUUUCCUCGUGGUGAAUCCUCUCUCUGCCCGGCCCUGCUUGAUGCAUUUUGGAGCCGCCUGCAGAGCACCCAGCACUUAAGAUGGAGCCUGGGCCUGUUGAGAGAGGCAAGUGCCCCACCGCUGCCCUGAUCUCCCCUCAACAAGCCCUCCCUGAGCCACGCUGAAAUUGCCACCCCAGCGAACGAGGAGGCCAGCAGAAGUGACAGCAGCAGCAAGACCCUCCCAGUGCUCCAGGGGUGCAGAGCAAGUGGCCAAGGCAGCAGGGUGGGAGUGCCCGCCGUGGGGUCUCUGCUCCCUGGAAGGGCACUGUGACACCACGAUGGCCUCCACCUGUGCCCGGCAGACCUGGAGGACAGUCAUCUGUCCGGCCUCGCAUCCCAGCCAACCGCAGAGCAGAGCUGCCUAACUCAACGCUUCCGUACUGCCACUCCCCAGUGACAGAGUGACGGCCAUGCACACAGCACCCCACCCCUUCACGUGCCAGAGGUCCUCAUCCUUGCGAGGAGACGCGGACUCUCUGCCCGUGCUGCACCGCCGCCUUCUGCAGUGUCACAGCCAGCCCUGGAAUCUGGUGCCGGAAAUUCUCCGACUGCCCUUCCUGCCUCUCCCUCUCUUCCUCCUCUCUCCUCUCCUUUUCUCUUUUCUUUUCUUUGCAUCCUUCUUUCUUUUCAGUAAUAAGGAUUGAGCCCAGGGUCUUUGCACUGACCUACAUUCCCAUCCUUUUUUUUUUCCUGUACUGGAAAUGGAACUCAGGACCUUGUGCUUACCAGGCAGGUGCACCACCACUGAGCUAAAUCCCCAGCCUUUGGGGUUUUCUUUUUGAGACAGGGUCUUGCUCUGUAGUUCAGGCUGUCCUUGAACCCACUGUGUAGCCCAGGCAGGCCUUGAACUCACAGCAAUCCUCCUGCCUCAGCUUCCCGGGUUCUGCAAUUACAGGUGUGUGCCACCUCACCCAGCUUUAUGUUUUGAGAAAGCGUCUUGUUAAAUUGUUGAGUUGCCCAAGCCGUGCUCAAACGUGUGACCCUCCGGCCUCAGCCUCCUGAGUGCUGGGAUCCCAGGAGUGUAGCUCCACGCCCAGCUGUAUGAUCUGCCCAAGUAACAGCUGCUACUGAAGAC
ensembl:lncRNA